rnacentral:misc_RNA from 1 species
UACGGAGGAUCCAAGCGUUAUCCGGAAUCAUUGGGUUUAAAGGGUCCGUAGGCGGGAGAAUAAGUCAGUGGUGAAAGUCUGCAGCUUAACUGUAGAACUGCCGUUGAAACUGUUUUCCUUGAGUCAUUAUGAAGUGGUUAGAACAUGUAGUGUAGCGGUGAAAUGCAUAGAUAUUACAUAGAAUACCGAUUGCGAAGGCAGAUCACUAAUAAUGCACUGACGCUGAUGGACGAAAGCGUAGGUAGCGAACAGG